rnacentral:lncRNA from 1 species
GAUACAUUUUUGUGUCAAACAAGAUUUCAGUGAAGGAGCAUUGUAUCGAGGACUGAGAAUGUAUAUAUGGAAAGUAUUUUUUAUGUAAAUGAUACUACCCUAGUUAGAGAGGACACUAGCUCGGUAUAUAUUGUAAUGUUUUUUACCUCUAAUAAGAUACACAUUCCACAAUCUAUAUGGUAUUCCACAAUCUAUAUGGUAUCAGAGCUGUCGCUCCUAAAGACCUAAUUUUCUCAAAAUAUUUCUCUCUUUCACGAAAAUCAUCAUGUCAUCCCCAAACAACUCUGCAACGAUCACAUAAACCAUUACCACAAACC